GGGCACCAGAAGGUCAGAGUACAGAAAGCAAACUCGUCGUUCUUUGGCAUCUAGAGCCUUGUGAUCCAGUGCCCAGUGUGGCUCGCCUGUGGGACACAAACGCCUGUGGAUGCCAGCCUCGGCUCCUGCCUCUUCUCCUGGUUGCUGGACAGCAGGGGGAGGCAGAUGUCUGGUGGCUCAAUGAAGAGGGCAGGCCUCCCACGCCACCAAGGGGCCGGCGCACGUGGCCUCCCAUAUUACCCCUGAGCUCUCUGUAUCCUCAGCUGUCCCGGCAGGAAACUGCCAUGAAGACAGCUUCCCCUCCAGCCACCGCCAUGACCCACAGCAUCAGUGCUGUCUGCACCCUUAGGCUUCCUCCCUGGAUGUGUCCACCUGCUAAUCCAAUCCUGCUAUGGCAGCAGCUUUGGACCCAAUUCACCAGGUAAACUGAAGCAUGGAGCAAUGCUGCCCUGGGAUUUGUACAGACUGUCUCACACUCCCUUGCUGUCUUCCUCCCACCUCUUUUUUUGGUAAGCAAAGCUCCUUUUUCCUGGUUCCUAUCGGUUGUUGGAUUGUAACAAGAGGCACCUCCUCCCUCCUCU
rnacentral:lncRNA from 1 species